AUACGGAGGGUGCGAGCGUUAAUCGGAAUUACUGGGCGUAAAGCGCGCGUAGGCGGUUUGGUCAGUCGGAUGUGAAAGCCCCAGGCUCAACCUGGGAAUGGCAUUCGAUACUGCCUGACUAGAGUAUGGUAGAGGGAAGUGGAAUUUCCGGUGUAGCGGUGAAAUGCGUAGAUAUCGGAAGGAACACCAGUGGCGAAGGCGACUUCCUGGGCCAAUUCUGACGCUGAGGUGCGAAAGCGUGGGGAGCAAACAGGAUUAGAAACCCCAGUAGUCC
rnacentral:rRNA from 1 species